UACGGGGGGAGCAAGCGUUGUUCGGAUUUACUGGGCGUAAAGGGCGCGUAGGCGGUCGUGACAAGUCACUUGUGAAAUCUCCGGGCUUAACUCGGAACGGUCAAGUGAUACUGUCGGACUAGAGUGCAGAAGGGGCAACUGGAAUUCCCGGUGUAGCGGUGAAAUGCGCAGAUAUCGGGAAGAACACCCGUGGCUAAGGCGGCUCUCUAGUACGGUACUGACGCUGAGACGCGAAAGCGUGGGGAGCGAACAGG
rnacentral:rRNA from 1 species